GCACAGCCACGGGAACACGAAGGGUGCAAGCGUUAAUCGGAAUUACUGGGCGUAAAGCGUGCGUAGGCGGUUUGUUAAGUCUGUUGUGAAAUCCCCGGGCUCAACCUGGGAAUGGCAAUGGAUACUGGCAAGCUAGAGUGUGUCAGAGGAUGGUGGAAUUCCCGGUGUAGCGGUGAAAUGCGUAGAGAUCGGGAGGAACAUCAGUGGCGAAGGCGGCCAUCUGGGACAACACUGACGCUGAGGCACGAAAGCGUGGGGAGCAAACAGGAUUAGAUACCCCAGUAGUCCCUGUCUCUUAUACC
rnacentral:rRNA from 1 species